rnacentral:rRNA from 1 species
GACGAACGCUGGCGGCGUGCUUAACACAUGCAAGUCGAACGAUGAACUACCAGCUUGCUGGUGGGGAUUAGUGGCGAACGGGUGAGUAACACGUGAGUAACCUGCCCUGGACUCUGGGAUAACCCCGAGAAAUCGGAGCUAAUACCGGAUAGGACCUUUCCCUGCAUGGGGUUUGGUGGAAAGUUUUUCGGUCUGGGAUGGACUCGCGGCCUAUCAGCUUGUUGGUGAGGUAAUGGCUCACCAAGGCGUCGACGGGUAGCCGGCCUGAGAGGGUGACCGGCCACACUGGGACUGAGACACGGCCCAGACUCCUACGGGAGGCAGCAGUAGGGAAUAUUGCACAAUGGGCGCAAGCCUGAUGCAGCAACGCCGCGUGCGGGAUGACGGCCUUCGGGUUGUAAACCGCUUUUAGUAGGGAAGAAGGGCUUCGGCUUGACGGUACCUGCAGAAAAAGGACCGGCUAACUACGUGCCAGCAGCCGCAGUAAAAC